rnacentral:rRNA from 1 species
CUUGCUCUCCGGGUGACGAGCGGCGGACGGGUGAGUAAUGUCUGGGAAACUGCCUGAUGGAGGGGGAUAACUACUGGAAACGGUAGCUAAUACCGCAUAACGUCUUCGGACCAAAGUGGGGGACCUUCGGGCCUCACGCCAUCAGAUGUGCCCAGAUGGGAUUAGCUAGUAGGUGGGGUAAUGGCUCACCUAGGCGACGAUCCCUAGCUGGUCUGAGAGGAUGACCAGCCACACUGGAACUGAGACACGGUCCAGACUCCUACGGGAGGCAGCAGUGGGGAAUAUUGCACAAUGGGCGCAAGCCUGAUGCAGCCAUGCCGCGUGUGUGAAGAAGGCCUUCGGGUUGUAAAGCACUUUCAGCGAGGAGGAAGGGUGGUGUGUUAAUAGCGCAUCACAUUGACGUUACUCGCAGAAGAAGCACCGGCUAACUCCGUGCCAGCAGCCGCGGUAAUACGGAGGGUGCAAGCGUUAAUCGGAAUUACUGGGCGUAAAGCGCACGCAGGCGGUUUGUUAAGUCAGAUGUGAAAUCCCCGCGCUUAACGUGGGAACUGCAUUUGAAACUGGCAAGCUAGAGUCUUGUAGAGGGGGGUAGAAUUCCAGGUGUAGCGGUGAAAUGCGUAGAGAUCUGGAGGAAUACCGGUGGCGAA